rnacentral:rRNA from 1 species
UACAGAGGUCUCAAGCGUUGUUCGGAAUCACUGGGCGUAAAGGGUGUGUAGGCUGUGCGUUAAAUCAGAUGUGAAAGCCCAGGGCUCAACCUUGGAACUGCAUCCGAUACUGGCGUGCUAGAGAAUUGGAGAGGAGUCUAGAAUUCACGGUGUAGCAGUGAAAUGCGUAGAUAUCGGGAGGAACACCAGUGGCGCAAGCGGCUGACUGGCCGAGACCUGACGCUGAGACGCGACGGCGUGGGGAGCAAACCGG